UACGGAGGAUCCAAGCGUUAUCCGGAUUUAUUGGGUUUAAAGGGUGCGUAGGCGGACUCAUAAGUCAGUGGUGAAAGUUUGCAGCUUAACUGUAAAAUUGCCAUUGAAACUGUUAGUCUUGAGUGCAAGUGAGGUAAGCGGAAUGUGUAAUGUAGCGGUGAAAUGCUUAGAUAUUACACAGAACACCAAUUGCGAAGGCAGCUUACUGGUAUGUAACUGACGCUGAGGCACGAAAGCGUGGGGAUCAAAC
rnacentral:rRNA from 1 species